rnacentral:rRNA from 1 species
UACGUAGGGUGCAAGCGUUGUCCGGAAUUAUUGGGCGUAAAGAGCUCGUAGGCGGCUUGUCGCGUCGUUCGUGAAAACCUGCAGCUCAACUGCAGGCUUGCGGUCGAUACGGGCAGGCUAGAGUUCGGUAGGGGAGACUGGAAUUCCUGGUGUAGCGGUGAAAUGCGCAGAUAUCAGGAGGAACACCGAUGGCGAAGGCAGGUCUCUGGGCCACUACUGACGCUGAGAAGCGAAAGCAUGGGGAGCGAACAGG